GUAAAAGGCUCCCCGCGCGCGGCCUCCCCCGCCCCUCCCCUCCCCCCGCCGGCGCGCUCACCGCCCCGCAGACAAAUCACCGGGUGACAAAUCGCUCUCAGAUGCAAAUACCUCGCCGGUGAUUCAGCGCCGCGGCCCGGGACGCGGGGAGGGGUCUCGGGAGGCCCCCUCCCCCUUCCCCGAAGCCCCCUCGCGCCCCGCGCUCGGUCCGGCGACGCGCCACCGGCCCCGGGGCUGUUGGGGAGGGGGGGGAAGACUGGACGGAAAUUUUCAAGUCGCGGCCCCUUUAAAUGAUAAUAAAUAAUAAAAGGAAGGGGAACAGCGACGCGGGACGCCCCGCCCCCUGCCUAGGGAAGGUGGGCAAAGUGCGCGCCGCGGCCCCGAGCGCACAGGGCGCCCAGGGCGCGGGCGGGGCUGGGAGCGCCCGCGGGGGAGGGGAGGGGGGCUGGGCCUCCGCCCGGGCGGCCGGGGAAGGGUGGGGGCCUCGAGCCGGGUCGACGACCCCCUCCCCCAUCUCACCGAGCACCUAGGAGGGGCCUGCCGGGCUCGGAGUUUCACCCCUGCCCCUUAGACGCGGCGCCCGGCAGCCGAGCCCCGGUUUGCAGUCGCACCUCCGGGCCUUUGCACUGGCUGUUCCCGCUGCCUGAACCGCCCUCCCCGGGUCACCCCAUGGCCGGUGCCUUCUCCCGACUCAAACUGGAACGUCCGCCCCUCGGAGCGCCCCCCCACGACCUCCCAGAGUCCCCAUCACCCCAUCACGCCGCCCUCCUUUAUCUCCAUCGAAAGGCUUCUGUUUCAAAACAGCUCUAUUUACUUAACCUACUUGGCCCUGCUGGCGGCUGGGUCCCCAGCCUUGAGGCUGGCCUGGUACACAGUGGAGCUCAAUACAUGUUGUUUGAUGGAUGAAUCCGUGUGUCCCCGCCCCUCCUCCUUCCUCCCACGGGAUUUUGGGUGUCUGUCUACACAGAGGUGCAGGGCAAACCGAACUACUCGCCAUCUCGGUGUCCCAAAGCAAAAAAGCCCGGAGCGGGGUUGCUGGGCGCCCCUUGACCCGGUAACCCCCGCCCUCUGCUGUCACCCGUGCUACCUCCAGGUUGCCUGUCGCUGGGAGCCAGGGUCCGGGAGAAUGUCAUCCUAACUUCUUUGAAAAUGAGAAGAAAAAAAUAAUUGUAGCCUCUCCUGCAGAGCCGUCUCCCUCGUUCCCUUCACCAGCUGCCCCGACAGUAACUCAGCAGCGUUUUGCAAAACCGCGGCACGGCAUGGCCACCAGGAGGCCCACACUGAGGCCACCCUCCCAUCUGACCCGGAUCUUCUUUUCCUGGGACCUCUGCUACCCAGAUGGAACCAGACAUCGUGUCACCCGUGGGUCCUUCACGCUCGCCGAGAUUCCCGGAGAGCCACGUGGGGUGUUGUGUGUGUCUGUGGUGUGUUCUUGACCUUGUGCUGCUGAGCGGUGCUCCGUGGGGUGCAUGCACCACAGCGGGUUUCACCCCCCACCUGCCGAAGGACGCCUGGGGUGUCCCCAGUUUGGGGCUUUUGAUAAUAAAGCUGCUGCCGAC
rnacentral:lncRNA from 1 species